ACGGAAGGCAGCAGUGGGGAAUAUUGCACAAUGGGCGCAAGCCUGAUGCAGCGACGCCGCGUGAGCGAUGAAGUAUUUCGGUAUGUAAAGCUCUAUCAGCAGGGAAGAAAAUGACGGUACCUGACUAAGAAGCUCCGGCUAAAUACGUGCCAGCAGCCGCGGUAAUACGUAUGGAGCAAGCGUUAUCCGGAUUUACUGGGUGUAAAGGGAGCGUAGACGGAACAGCAAGUCUGAUGUGAAAGGCAGGGGCUCAACUCCUGGACUGCAUUGGAAACUGUUGAUCUUGAGUGCCGGAGAGGUAAGCGGAAUUCCUAGUGUAGCGGUGAAAUGCGUAGAUAUUAGGAGGAACACCAGUGGCGAAGGCGGCUUGCUGGACGGUAACUGACGUUGAGGCUCGAAAGCGUGGGGAGCAAACAGGAUUAGAUACCCUGGUA
rnacentral:rRNA from 1 species